GACGAACGCUGGCGGCGUGCCUAAUACAUGCAAGUAGAACGCUGAAGGAAGGAGCUUGCUCUUUCUGGCUGAGUUGCGAACGGGUGAGUAACGCGUAGGUAACCUGCCUGGUAGCGGGGGAUAACUAUUGGAAACGAUAGCUAAUACCGCAUAAAAUUGAUUAUUGCAUGAUAGUCAAUUAAAAGGUGCAACUGCACCACUACCAGAUGGACCUGCGUUGUAUUAGCUAGUUGGUGGGGUAACGGCUCACCAAGGCGACGAUACAUAGCCGACCUGAGAGGGUGAUCGGCCACACUGGGACUGAGACACGGCCCAGACUCCUACGGGAGGCAGCAGUAGGGAAUCUUCGGCAAUGGACGGAAGUCUGACCGAGCAACGCCGCGUGAGUGAAGAAGGUUUUCGGAUCGUAAAGCUCUGUUGUAAGAGAAGAACGAGUGUGAGAGUGGAAAGUUCACACUGUGACGGUAGCUUACCAGAAAGGGACGGCUAACUACGUG
rnacentral:rRNA from 1 species